rnacentral:lncRNA from 1 species
AUGCCACAUCUCCCUUUGGGUAGAUUCUCUGUCCGACCUGUCAACUCCUGCUGCGGCUGUCACCGACCCAGACUGAUCCGGGGACUUGGAAGCCCAUCUCCCCCCUCCCACUCCUGUCCAAACAAGGCCAACAGCUGUUCGAGAAGCCAUAACAAACAGCAGAGGCCUUCUCAUCAUGAGAUGUCCACCAAGAGAGGAGCAGCAAGAUCGAAGACUCUCCAAGUAAUUUUUUCCCAAGACCCUACCCACUUUGUUCAGUGUAACCAGCUGUGAUUUCAGCUGCUGAGAAGCAGCAUGGCUUAGUCGAAAUAGUAAUAAUAUUUACGAAGUGCUUACUGUGUGUAGAGCAUUGUAUUAAGUGCUGGGAAAGAGCUCAAAGGUGGGAGAGAGGACUGGCUUCGGAGUUAGAGAGCUUGGGUUCUAAUCCUGACUCGGUCACUUGCCUGCCGUGUGACCUUGGCCAAGUCACUUAACUUCUCUCUGCCUCGGUUUCCUCAUCAGUAAAAUGGGGAUUCUACACCAGCACUCCCUUCUACUUAGACUGUGAGCUCCAUGUGCGACAAUGACCGUCUGACCUGACAUCUUGCAUCUAUCCCAGGGCUUGGUCCAUAAAAAGAGCUUAACAAAUACCACGAUUAUUAACUGGUUAGAUGGACAACGACAGAGGAGUUAUUUAUUUCCAGGCAAGAGGCAUAGCGGAUCCCAGACACAGGCUCUGUGCCUUCUGAAGCUUCUCUAGCAGUGACCUAGCCAGGACUGGGGAAAAUUUUCUUAGAGGGAGCCAGUCAGCUGCAGGAGUUUAGCAGGGCUUCUCCUCCCUCUUUAAGUGGAAGUCUGCCAAGAACACCACCUGUCAGCCAGCCCCCAACCUUUUUCAGGCUCUUAAAAGGGCAACACCUAGUUGAGAAAAACAUAUUUGCAGGCAUGAGCUGACUCAUUCUUUCUCACUCUCUUCCUCAAAAAUUUGAAUUGAUUUAAUAUGAGCUGGUGGUAUGAAUCUAAGUGUUGUUCACAGUUGGUAAUAAAAAAAAUUAAUUGUGGUGGUGUUGAAGCACUCAUUAUGUACCAAGUACUGUACUGGAGGCUGGGUUAGAUACAAGAUAAUCAGGUGGGACUGUCCCACAUGGGACUCAGAGUCUAAGGAGGAAGGGACCAGGUAUUUAAUCCCCAUUCUACAGAUAAGGAAACUGAGGCCCAGGGAAGUUGUGACUUUUUUUAAAUGGUAUUUGUGCUUACUAUAUGUCAAGCACUCUUCUAAGAGUAGAUAUAAGUUAAUCAGGUUGGACCCAGUCCCUGUCCCACUUGGAACUCACAUUCCAAGAAGGAGGGAGAACAGGUAUGGAAUCCCCAUUUUGCAGUUGAGGCACAGAAAAGUUAAGUGACUUGCCCAUGGUCCCACAGCAGGCGAGUGAUUGAUGUGGAAUUUGAACCCAGAUCCUCUGGCUUCUAGGCCCGGGCUUUAUCCGCUAGGCCACGCUGCUUCCCAGUUCAAGCUUACCCAGCAGGUAAACGAUGGGGCUGGGAUCGGAACCUACGUUCUGAAAAUCCAACUUUGGCUACGUGCAUAAGUAGGGCACUGAAGUAAGUCAUUUCAGGAGCUCAGAAGCAAGUUAGUGGCCUGUUGUAGCUCCGACUAUAGGCUAGACUCUGGUAUCCCUCUGACAAAUCACCGGCUCCGUCUCUCAACUCCUGUGAUAAAUCCAGGUCAAGGCCUCCCUCCCCACCUGCCAUCUCUUUUCAUUUUCUCCCCCGGGUGCCACGGGAGAGGCCACUCCAUUGGUCAGAAUGGCCUCUGCCCUGCCAGAGAUAAACAGGCCCAGGAGUACAUAUCCCAGAUUGCAACACUGGCAUGUCACACAAGGUCAGACAGCUGUUCACUCACAUGCACCACUUGCUUGCUCCUGAUAAGAGGAAACAUCACCAGCCACAGGGUCCGCUCGGCCAUGCUCAGUCACGCACAUGUGUACGUACACACACACACACACACAAAAUCCCUCUCGCUCUCAAUCCCCAACCCCGCUGUUGUCUUAAGGUAAAUUAUUGACAUCUUGAAGUACUGAAACACGGGGAACUGAAGUUAAAGUCAACUUUGUGCUCCUAUAAUGAAAUUAAAUCCUGCUGUGCCAGCUUCUUUGGGCAGGAACAGACGAAAUGUGCCUAGGCGUGUUGUCAUCAGGAAUCUCACAGCCAAAGGCAACCAUUUUCCAGAGCCUCUGGACCUUCUGCAGAUGGGAAGGGGGAAUGUUCACUGCCUCAGAGUCCAAAGUUGAAUGAGUCAUUAGAUGGACCAAGAAAAUCCUCUCUCAUAGGAUGGAGAUAUUUUUCCACUAUGACCAGGUGGUCUCUAGUGCUUAGUACAGUGGCUGGCACAUUGUAAGCACCUAACAAAUACUUUCUUUUAGAGAGCAAGCUAGGGGAGAUUGGGG